rnacentral:rRNA from 1 species
CAGCCGCCACGGUAAUACGAAGGGGGCUAGCGUUGCUCGGAAUCACUGGGCGUAAAGGGUGCGUAGGCGGGUCUUUAAGUCAGGGGUGAAAUCCUGGAGCUCAACUCCAGAACUGCCUUUGAUACUGAAGAUCUUGAGUUCGGGAGAGGUGAGUGGAACUGCGAGUGUAGAGGUGAAAUUCGUAGAUAUUCGCAAGAACACCAGUGGCGAAGGCGGCUCACUGGCCCGAUACUGACGCUGAGGCACGAAAGCGUGGGGAGCAAACAGGAUUAGAUACCCCUGUAGUCCCUGUCUCUUAUAA